CAUGAAAAGGAUGGAGGUAACCCAAGACCAAAUGCAAUGAUGCAAGAGUGCCAGAAUUAUUUGGGAGAAUUUGGUUUACACGAUUUGGGAUAUAUUGGUGACUUUUUCACGUGCAGGAGAGGGGAGAUUGGGGAAAGGCUUGAUAGGGUUGUUUGUAAUGUUGAAUGGUCAAAUAUUCCAAAAGCGGCCAUUAUCAAUGAGGAACAUGUGCACUCGGAUCAUCGUCCCUUAAUCCUUGACACAGAAUAUUUUGAUGGGAAUAUUUUUAAUUGCCCAAAAGGCCGUGCGAAGCAAUUUGAGGCUAGAUGGCUCAAAGAAGAAACUAUUGAAGAAAUUGUACGCAUAGCAUGGGAAAAGGCUAAAUUAGCGGGUGUUGGCCCGUCUCUGGCUGCACGUACACGGGCGGUGCAGGCUGACCUACACACUUGGGACAGAGAGACUCAAAACGGACCAAAGCGAAGAAUUAAUAAAUUUAAAAAGGAGUUGGAGAAAUUAAGGCGAGGACCUAUGAAUGUGAAGUCUCGCUCUCGCCAAAAGGAAGUUCUAGUCCUGAUUGAGAACUUGUUAGAUCAAGAGGAGAUUUUUUUUGUUACAAAGAGGAAGAGCUAA
rnacentral:rRNA from 1 species